rnacentral:rRNA from 1 species
AUUGAACGCUGGCGGCAGGCCUAACACAUGCAAGUCGAGCGGGGUUUUCGGACCUAGCGGCGGACGGGUGAGUAAUGCGUAGGAAGCUACCCGACAGAGGGGGAUACCAGUUGGAAACGACUGUUAAUACCGCAUAAUGUCUACGGACCAAAGUGUGGGACCUUCGGGCCACAUGCUGUCGGAUGCGCCUACGUGGGAUUAGCUAGUUGGUGAGGUAAUGGCUCACCAAGGCGACGAUCCCUAGCUGGUUUGAGAGGAUGAUCAGCCACACUGGAACUGAGACACGGUCCAGACUCCUACGGGAGGCAGCAGUGGGGAAUAUUGGACAAUGGGCGCGAAGCCUGAUCCAGCCAUGCCGCGUGUGUGAAGAAGGCC